GGAGAGGUACGAAAGCGGCUUACUCGGCGCGCUUGGAGAGCGCGUGUACCGAAAGGUACCGAGGGUUCGAAUCCCUCCCUCUCCGCCA
rnacentral:tRNA from 1 species